AACGAGGCCGACCUGCGGCUGAGUUACCUGCGGAAGGAUCAUUACCGAGUGUGGCCCCCCAAAAAAAAGGAGGGGUACCUCCCGUCCUUUGCAGGGCCCUUUGGGGCUUUUUGAACUUUGCUUCGGCGGGGUUAUCCCGCCGGAACACCCUCAAGAAAAUCUUUUUAAAAAAACUGUUGUCUGAGCACUUUGCGAAUAAAACAAAAACUUUCAACAACGGAUCUCAGAUCGGAAGAGCAC
rnacentral:misc_RNA from 1 species